rnacentral:rRNA from 1 species
GUAGGUGGCAAGCGUUGUCCGGAAUUAUUGGGCGUAAAGCGUGCGCAGGCGGUCCUUUAAGUCUGAUGUGAAAGCCCACGGGCUCAACCGUGGAGGGUCAUUGGAAACUGGGGGACUUGAGUACAGAAGAGGAAAGCGGAAUUCCACGUGUAGCGGUGAAAUGCGUAGAGAUGUGGAGGAACACCAGUGGCGAAGGCGGCUUUCUGGUCUGUAACUGACGCUGAGGCGCGAAAGCGUGGGGAGCAAACAGGAUUAGAUACCCUGGUAGUCCACGCCGUAAACGAUGAGUGCUAAGUGUUAGGGGGUUUCCGCCCCUUAGUGCUGCAGCUAACGCAUUAAGCACUCCGCCUGGGGAGUACGGCCGCAAAGGCUG